rnacentral:rRNA from 1 species
AACGACUGAAGGCUGAUGGAGAAAAGAGCAUCCUUUUAUUUUUAAAGACCUUUUUCGGAAGGUAUGCUUAAAGAGGGGCUUGCGUCACAUUAGUUAGUUGGCAGGGUAAAGGCCUACCAAGACUAUGAUGUGUAGCUGGACUGAGAGGUUGAACAGCCACAUUGGGACUGAGACACGGCCCAAACUCCUACGGGAGGCAGCAGUAGGGAAUUUUCGGCAAUGGAGGAAACUCUGACCGAGCAACGCCGCGUGAACGAUGAAGUAUUUCGGUAUGUAAAGUUCUUUUAUUGAAGAAGAAAAAAUAGUGGAAAAACUAUCUUGACGAUAUUCAAUGAAUAAGCCCCGGCAAACUAUGUGCCAGCAGCCGCGGUAAUACAUAGGGGGCGAGCGUUAUCCGGAAUUAUUGGGCGUAAAGGGUGCGUAGGCGGUUUAAUAAGUCUAUAGUUUAAUUUCAGUGCUUAACACUGUCCUGCUAUAGAAACUAUUAGACUAGAGUGAGAUAGAGGCAAGUGGAAUUCCAUGUGUAGCGGUAAAAUGCGUAAAUAUAUGGAGGAACACCAGAGGCGUAGGCGGCUUGCUGGGUCUUUACUGACGCUGAGGCACGAAAGCGUGGGGAGCAAACAGGAUUAGAUACCCUGGUAGUCCACGCCGUAAACGAUGAGUACUAAGUGUCGGGAUUACUCGGUACUGAAGUUAACACAUUAAGUACUCCGCCUGAGUAGUACGUACGCAAGUAUGAAACUUAAAGGAAUUGACGGGACUCCGCACAAGCGGUGGAUCAUGUUGUUUAAUUCGAAGAUACACGAAAAACCUUACCAGGUCUUGACAUACUCUGCAAAGCUAUAGCAAUAUAGUGGAGGUUAUCAGGGAUACAGGUGGUGCAUGGUUGUCGUCAGCUCGUGUCGUGAGAUGUUAGGUUAAGUCCUAAAACGAGCGCAACCCUUGUCAUUAGUUGCCAGCAUGUCAUGAUGGGCACUUUAAUGAGACUGCCAAUGAAAAAUUGGAGGAAGGUGAGGAUCACGUCAAAUCAUCAUGCCCCUUAUGAUCUGGGCUACAAACGUGAUACAAUGGCUGUUACAAAGAGUAGCUGAAACGCAAGUUUAUAGCCAAUCUCAUAAAAGCAGUCUCAGUUCGGAUUGAAGUCUGCAACUCGACUUCAUGAAGUUGGAAUCGCUAGUAAUCGCGAAUCAGCAUGUCGCGUAAUUUCACUCGU